UCCCCCUGUUGGGUGACACAUUCAGCCCUAUAGGUGAAAAUGGGAUAUGCAGAGGCGGUAGACAUCCAGUUUUCUUGGGAUGACUUUGCAGAUCUUUGCUCAGAGCCACUGGAUCAGCAGUAGCAGUAAUAGUAUCAUCUAACUCCUGAUUGUACACCACUAAGUAUCCGACAAUCCACUGACUGAAAUGGAAACUCUGGAGGCAGCAAAGGGAAGGAAGAGGAUCUCUGCGGAGAUGAUGGUGCUUUCGCUGGCACAGCCGGAGGAGAAGCAGGUGACUCACCACUGGUCAUCUGCUACUCAACUCACUCACUGCAGAGGAGCGGACGCCCCACACCCCGGCAAGUAGUUGCUCCAAGCAUGGAGCCAUGGUGCCCAGGUGGAGAGUGAGCUCAGUG